AACACCACCUGCCAACAUUCAGCCUCCUCUGCCCAUCAGCCUUGCUGACACAGGGAGUGGAGAUUUGUGUAGAGAAAUGACUCAUUCAAAUAUGACUUAAUCUAAACCGUAAGUGUAUGAUUUAUUAAUGUGCCACCAGGCCUUACACCAAGAGAGCCAUUCCAGAGAAAAGUCCUUUUUCUCCUGAGAACAGUGCCAGCAGCUGGCUUCGUGACAUUCUGGAAGCCCCGUGCAAUGCUGUCAGGAGCAUAGGGAUUUUACUUUAUCUCCCUUGCUUAUGCUCCACAUAACUGAAAUAUCUCACUGGAAGCUGCAGCAGUGCUGGCCCCUUGCACAGCCAUAUGUGACCACUGCAGAACAAUCAGUUGGAGAGACAGUUUGGACUACAUGGAGGGUGGAGAUAAGGACAAAGUGAAGAAUACACAGGAACCAGUGCCUCCUCCUGGAACUAUGCAACUCCAAGCUGCUUCCAUCAGCUGCUAGGUCCAGUAGGGAGGGACCUACUGAGAGAAGGUGCCUGCUUCCCUUUCCGCUGUGAUUGGUGUGGGGAAGAGCGAGAAAAAGAUUUCCGCUCUGGAAGGUAAACAAAUACUCUCUGGAGAGAGAAGAGGAAUGUCCCUAGCAGAUGUCUCCAGAGAAGACAAGACUUUAAAUUCCGCCAGGGAAAUAUACAAUGUCUAACUUCUAAGGCACAUUUGCCAUUCAAUCAUGCUUUAACCCACGUUGCCAGAAAUUUUUGCUCACUAGGUUUUGACUGUACAGGAAUGUGAAAAUAUUCAUGAAGAGUUGUUUUCCAAUGCUAAAGAAUUGAUGUGUUUUAACAGUUGAAUUAAUUGUAUUGAUUAUGAUCACACCUACUUUUUAUAUAUCUUCAUUUCUAACGUUUCUGUACAAUCCUGCCUUUCCACCUGAUAUAGUUAGGCCUUGUGUCAUCAACCAAAUCUCAUCUUGAAUUGUAAUCGCCAUAAUCCCCACGUAUUUAGGGAGAGACCUGGAGGGAGGUGUUUGGAUCAUGGGGGCGGUUUCCCGCAUGCUGUUCUCAUGACCAUGAGAGUAAGUUCUCAAGAGAUCUGAUGGUUUUAUAAGCGUCUGUCAUUUCCACUGCUUGCACUUCUGUGUCCUGCCACCUUGUGAAGAAGGACGUGGUUGCUUCCCCUUCCACCAUGAUUGUGUUUCCUGAGGCCUCCCCAGCCUUGCAGAGCUGUGAGUCAAUUAAACCUCUUUCCUUUAUAAAUUACUCAGUCUCUGUAUUCCUCUGCAGCAGUGUGAGAACAGACUAAUACAUCACCACUUUAUUUACUUUACUCUCUCCCCAUACCGAGGUUUUCUACAUUUUCUUUCUAGGUCUCUACAGUUUCUGCAAAGAUCCUUUAUGGAACUCUUAGGGAAGCUGGGAUGUAUAAUAAAUAAAGGGCUCUUUUCUUUGAGUCCCACACCCAUUUUCUGUGUAUAAAAAUCUUCAACUCCACUUUUGUCUGUUCUAUUUAAAUGUGUGCACAUUUCCUUCUAAUGUUGUAUAUGAAAAAGAGACACCUCUUAGCAGUCUUUCAUAGAGCAAAAUUUUUUACUUUGAUAAAAUCUAAUUUAUCAAUAUUUUUAAAUUUUAUGGAUCAAUCAUGCUUUUGAGGUUGAAUUUAAGAAUGCUUUGCCUAGCCCUAGAUCCCAAGUAUCUUUUAAAAAUUAUUUUUCUAAAUGCAUUAUUUAUGUUUUACACUUAAGUCUAUAAUCCAUUUUGAGUCCAUGUGUAAGAUUUAGGUUAAGGUCAAGAUUUAUCUGUUUUUGUUGUUUUCUCUAUAAAUGUCAAUUGCUCCAGCACUAUUUGUUUAAAAGCCAAUCUUUCCUCCGCUGAGUUCUUCCUAUAAGUUUGUCAAAAGUCAAUUUGGCAUCUUUGUAUAAGUUUAUUUCUGGAUUCUCUAUUCUGUUUUAUUGAUCACUGCAUCUAUCCCUCUUGAUUAGCUAGAUAAUAAAUCCUACAAUAAGGUAGAAUUCUUCCCACUUUAUUCAUAUUCAAAAUAUUUUAAAGCUAUUCUAGUUUCUUUUUAUUUCCAUAUAUAUUUUAGGAUAAUCUUAUCUAUAUUUACAACAUAUGUUGCUAGGAUUUUGAUAGAAUUUGUUUUAAAUUUGUGUAUCAAUGUAGGGAAGACCUGACAUCUUUACUAUUACGUUGAUCUUCCAAUCAAUGAAUAUGGUAUAUCUCUCAGUUUAUAGCUAUUGUCUUUAAUUUAUUUCAUCAUGGUUUUUAGUUUUCAGCAGAGAAGCUUUAUACAUGUUUUGUUAUACAUGUAUAACAAAAGAAGCCUUAUACACUGACAUUUUAUAUUUUGAACAAUUGUAAAUGGUAUUGUUUAAAAAUUUUGUUGUCUAUGAUAGAAAUAAAAUUGAUUUUUGUAGGUUUAUCUUGUAACCUAUGACUUGCUGAGCUCGCUCAUUAGUUUUUUUAUUGUGAUAAAAUAUACAUGAGAUAAAUUUCAUCAUUAUAAUCAUUAAGUUUAGACAUCAAUUGCAUUAAGUACAUAAAUGCCUUAUGCAACCAUCAUCUCUAUCCAUCUCCAGACCCUUUGCAUCACCCUAAAAUGAAACUCUGUGCCCAUUAAACAAUAACUCCCCAUUCUGCCCUCACCCCAGCCCUUGGUAAUUACCAUCCUACCUUUUAUCUCUAUAAAUUUAACCAUCCCAGGUAACUCAUAUAAGUGGAAUCAUGCAGUGUUUGUCCUUUUGUAACUGGUUUAUUUCACUUAGCAUGAUGUCUUCAAGGUUUGCCUAUGUCAUAGCAUGUGUCAGAAUUUCAUCCCUUUUUAAACUUAAAUAAUAUUCCACUGUAGGCAUAUGCCACAUUUUGUUUAUUUGUUCAUCUGUUGAUGGGCAUUUGGGUUGUUUCCACCUUUUGGCUACUGUGAAUAAUGCUGCUGUGAUCAUGGGUAUGCAACUGUCUCCUGGAGUCCCUGCUAUCAAUUCUUGUGGGUAUAUACCCAGAAGUGGAAUUGUUGCAACAUAUAGUAAUUCUAUGUUUAAUUUUUUGAGGACCUGCCAUAAUGUUUUCCACAGUAGCUACAUUGUCUUAUAUUCCCAUUAAGAGUUCCAAUUUCCUCACAUCUUCACCAAUACUUAUUGUUUUCUGUUUUUUUAAAUAAUAGCCAUCAUAAUAAAAGUAACAUGGUAUCUCAUUGUGGUUUUAACUGCAUUUCCCUUUUUACUGGAUUGUUUGUAAUAUUGCUGUAAUUGAGUUGUAGGAGUUUUUAAAUAUGUUCUGAAUAAUUAAUUUCUUAUCAGAUAUGUCAUUUGCAAAUAUUUUCUGCCAUUCUCUGGGUUGUCAUUUCACUCUCUUGAUAGUGUCCUUUGAUGCACAGAAGUUUUGAAAUUUGAUAAAGUUUAAUUUGCGUAUGUAUUUAUUUUGUUGCUUAUGCUUUUGGUGUCAUAUCCAAGAAAUUAUUGCCAAAUUCAGUGUCAUGAAGAUUUUCCCCUGUGUUUUCCUCUAAGAGUAUUAUAGUUUUAACUCUUGCACUUAGAUUGAUCCGCUUUGAGUUAAUUUUAGUAUAUGGGGUAAGACAAGGGCUCAAAUUUGUUCUUUUGUUUGAAGAUUCUAGGUCAUUUGUGAUCUUUAGGAUUUUCUAUGUAGACAUUAAUGUCAUCUUCAAAUAUGAACAGUUUAUUUCUUCCUUUUGUAUAUGUAUGAAUUUACUUUCCUUUUCUUGCCUUAUUGCACUGGCUAGAGUUUUCAGUACUAUGAUGAAUAAAAUCAGUGAGAGCAGACACCCUUGCUUUGUUUCUAAUCUUAGGAGGAAAGCUUUCAGUCUUUCAUCAUUAGGUAUACUGUUAGUUGUAGGCUUAUUAUAGAUGCUCUUUAUCAGGUUGAGGCAGUUUCCUCCUUGGUUAAGACUUUCUAUUUUUCAUUUUCAGUUAUGACCAGGCAUGUUCAUAACUGCUCAUCAAAACUUUGAAUUAGUGGCUGCUUUAACAUCCUUCUCAGACAAUUCUAACAUCUGUUUUGUUGGUGGUGGCAUCUAUCAAUUGUCUUUUUCAUUCUGUUUGAGAUCUUCCUUGCGUUUGGUAUGAUUUUUUUAAAUAUUAUGUCAUGAAACUGCAUCUUAUUUAAAUCUUCUGUUUUAGUUGGCUAUGUCUGACAUCACUUCCCCAGGGGAAGGUGUUGUUACUGCUAGUGGAGGGUGAGAAUUAUGGCUCUCCACUGACAUUGUGGUGGGAUUGGUCCCAUUACCACUGGGCAGGGUUGAAAGUCCUGACUUUCUGCUAGGCCUUCUCUGACUUCAUCGCAGCAGGAGGAAAAGAUGCCUCUGGAGUUGAAGUCAGGUUGCACUGACACUGUGUGUGUAUGGAGGUAGGCUGGGGUGAAAGUGGAGACUCAUUACCACAUGGUGAGUAGUUUCCAGCUCUCUAUUUGGCCUUCUCUGAUACCACCCAGACAGGGACAUUGGGGAUACCUCAUUACAGCCUAGUGAGGGUCAAACUCUAGGCUCCCCACUCAGUCUUUGCUAUCAUGGACACUGUAGGACCAUAGUUUUUUCUGUGCUGUUUGCUUGAUGUGUCUUCCUUGGACCCUGAGUUCCAUAGCUGGUCUGCAUUCCUCUCUCCACCUUUAAGACGUCUUCUUAUGUUUAUUUCAUAUUUAACAUCCAGGGUGGUAAUUAGAGGGAAGAAUAGAGGGAAAAGUACAGUUGCACUUUGUUGUUCAAAGAGCAGUUUUGAACUGCACAGACCCAUUUCUCUGAGCACACCCAGGGAUGAUUGUACUUGUAUAAAAUUUUUUUCCUGGAUGCAGAAUUCUCAAUUGACUGUGAAAGUUCAUAACAAAGAAAACAGUGGGGAAGACAAAUCUGGAAAUGAGGAAAAUAAAAAUUAAAUAGUGAGACCACCCAUGGAGCUUGUGGCAAAGCCUGAAUUGAAUCCGCUGUAUCUUAAGAUUGUGCCUCAUUCUAAAUUUAAGUCACCCUUCUCAUUAUGAAAGUGUCACAACUUCUCAGUAGGUGAGGAGACAGUCUAAAUUUGAGAAAAGAAAGUUACAACAAAGGUUUUGAGCAAGCUGCUAAGUGGAUUUAUUCAUGUUUGAGAAAUCAAAUAUAUGGUUAAUGAGCUCUUUAACUAGAAGCCAACACUAGGGAGGAGUAGACAGAAGUCACGGGGAGGGAGCCCCCGGACAUUUCAAAAGACUUUGCCCUGCAACAUCUCCUCCACAUUUAAGCUUUUAGGUUAUUGUAGCCACAUCACAAGCAUGUUACCUACCCAGAUAUUGUCUGCGCAUCAUUCCCAAAAGCUUCCCUGGGUCUUCAUAAUAUUAAUGAGAUUCUCCCCCAGGUUAGACCCCUUUGGCUUGAGUCAGAAACAGAAUUAAUCCGGGGGACAAUCCAGCAGCACCCAUCUCUGGGUUGCAGAAAUAUCUGAGGUGACCAGGCAGUGUUUGGAGUCCCCUCAGUUAGCUAACAAAGUGAGUUCACAGCUUCCAAGACCCCAGGCUUUCCAGGCUAAUAAAGAGCUGAGGUUAUAGGCUCUCCUUAUCAAACGCUCUUUGGCAGCUGCCAUAACCAUUCCAAGUCUAGUCCUAGAAUAGAAAUGACGCGGUUUCAGGAGCUGACAGAUGGAACUUUAAGCCUUCCUUCCUGCCACAUCUGAAGUUCUUUUUUAAAAAAAUAGAAAACCAUGACAAUAAACACUCCUUGAAUGCCCUGUGGAAAAGUGUACUCCUCAGAAUUCACUAAAGUGGGGUGAAGCAGUGGGUUGUGGUGCUGAGAAAACAUCUCUUCCCCUCGGCAGUAUAUUGGAAUCUCAUAGAAACUUCUGUGGCUGGGAAGCAAACAUGCUCUCUGCCCCAUUGCUCUUAUUCAUCUUUAGACCUGAUAAUACAGUUUGAACUUCAAGUUGCACUUUAAAUGGCAUGCAUUUUUA
rnacentral:lncRNA from 1 species